rnacentral:lncRNA from 1 species
UUUUUGUCUAUGGAGACUUCGUCCCUGAAUAGUUAUGUUGUCGUUAUCUAAAGAUGUUCAGUUAUGUCCACCAUGUGGUCAUUUGUGUGGUAUAACCGUCAUUAUAGGGAUUGCAACCCUCUUUUGUUUUGACUCCGUCGGUUUCUAGAUGCUUGUGUAGUGUAUUAAAAUGUUCAAAGUUUGCUAGGUAGUAGAUAAUUUUUUGUUCUGUUCUGGAUAUUAAGCAUGGGUUUCGUAGUGGUCAGUUUCUCGACAUGUGUUUUGGAUUGUCAAGCACAAGGGUUUGGUUAUUUAGAAAGCGAUAUGUCUGGUUGAUGCGUGGAUUCUAUGGUUAGUUCAAGCAAUGUGUGGGCAGCGCUUGUAAAAUACAACAGUCGAAGCAUCUUGAACUUGCCACUAAGUUGUUACAAGUAGCGUUUUCUGGCCUACGAGUGAUAGAUAUCAGU